ACGACCCUAAUUUCCCUUCGUAGGAUGUCGUGAUGGCACCUAGUCUCUAAGACUAGGUAAGCCUAAUAAUUUGUGAAAUAACUGAAUAUAAAACUGAACUCAUAUCUCAAUACAUGAAAUAUAAAUAGAACUUGCAAUUCAAAUAAUUACAACUUCCAAAAUCCAGUAGAAACAAGUCACAAGCUUCUAAGAGAAAAUACAAAGUGUCUCUAUACAUCAAAGUUUAAGGAAAAUAAGGAAAAACAGCAUAGUAAGGAUACACUGGGACUCCGAGAUCUAUAGACGCUGGCAGAUAUACCUUGAUGUAUCCACGUACGAUCCAGCUCACUGGUAUCAUGCCUGGUAGGAAGAACCUGGAUCUGCACAAAAGGAUGUGCAGAAGUGUAGUAUGAGUACACCACAACGGUACCCAGUAAGUGCCAAGCCUAACCUUAGUAGAAUAGUAACGAGGUCAGGUCAGGGCCCUACUGGAAUAAAAGGUAAUGAGGAAGAAAAUAUAAUAGUACAAUGAAGUGACUGAGAAAUGAACAAGGAGAAAUUUCAGAAAGGUAACAGCACAGCAAAUAGAGGAAAACAAUAGGGGCGCUCCCGAGGUAAUGCCUCGUAGUCCCAAAUGUAACUGCACAACGGUGGGGAUAUCCUGAGGUACCGCCUCGUAGUCCCAAAAGUAAAUAUGCAACGGGGGAUCUCUCGAGGUACCGCCUCAGAAUCCCAAAAGUAAAUAUGCAACUGAUAAAUUAUGGAACAACGAAUUUACAGCAAGGAAUCCUACAGUUAAAGAUUGAAUACAAGAUCAAAGAAAUAAGUAAUUCAGCUAAACAUAUUGCACAAAUUUCAAGUAAAGGUUAAUACACGUAGGCAGGCAAUACUAGGCUAAAUACGACAACUACACAUGCUAAGUCAACUCAGUUAAGGAAUUUAAAAGAAGUUUACUCAGCAAGAACCGAAAUUUGCACAACUAGCCCGUGUACGCACUCGUCACCUCGCGUAAACGGCGCUCGCAUAUCAUAAAUUAUUACAACAGUACCAAAUCCUAAGGGGAUUUUCCCCACAAAAUGAUAGGCAAGUCACUUACCUCGCUCAAUCAAUCGAUAAGAAUGCCUUUCCCUCGACUUUCUGACUCUGAUCGGCUCGAAUCUAGCCAAAAUAAUUACAUACUACAAAUACAACUACAAGAAACUAAUUAAAAUAAUGAAAAUACGACUUUAGCAAAGAAUUAAAAACUCGGCCCAAAAUAUCCACCGGGCCCACAUCUAGGAAUCGGGUAAAAUUCACAAAAUACGAAUACACAUUCGAUAUCGAGUUCACUCAUGCCAAAAUUACUCAAAUCCGACACCAAGUUGCCACUCAAAUACCCAAAUUAAACUCUCCAAAUCCCUAGCCUCAAACUCCCAAACUCCACCUUAAAUACGCACAAACUAGGUGGGAAAUCAAUGGGGAAACAAGCUUAUUGGUCAAAAAUGAGUACAAGAGACUUACCUUAAGAAAUCCAUCGAAAAUGCUCUCAAACAUCGCCAAGACCCGAGCUCAAAAAGUUGAUAUGAAGCAAAAUAGAAAAUCCUUGUAUUUAAGUGUUCUACCCAGCACUUCCGCUUAUGCGGAAACUUAGCCGCAUCUGUGGCGUCGCAGAAGCGACAACAUACCCGCUUCUGUGGUUUCCCUCGCUCCCACGGUCUCUUCAUCCGCUCCUGCGGACUCGCUUCUACGGGCCUCCCAGUCGCUUCUGCAGUCCCAGCUUCCUUGCCAAAUUCUACUUCUACGGUUCAAAGCCCGAUUUUGCGAUAGGCCUCCCAAGCACGCGUCCGCUUCUGCGAUCACUCUUCCGCAGAAGCGACUCCGCUUCUGCGGCCUUCACACCGUACCUGCGACCACAAGACAUUUCCUCCAGCCACGCAUCUGCGCCCAAAUGCUUGCUUCUACGAGCUCGCACCUUCGGUCAAUCUUGCACAGGUGCGAUUAUACCAGAACUGAUGCACUUCAUCCAUUCUCACAAGUCCAAAUUGAUCCGUUACCAUCCAAAACCCACUUGAGGCCCCCGGGACCUCAACCAAAUAUACCAACAAGUCCUAAAAUAUCAUACGAACUUAGUCGAAUCUCUAAAUCACAUCAAACAACGCUAAAAAUAUGAAUUGCAUAUCGAUUCAAGCCUAAUAAACUUUAAAGCUUCAAACUUCUACAUUCGACGCCGAAACCUAUCAAAUCAAGUUCGAUUGACCUCAAAUAUUGCAUACAAGUCAUGACUGACAUAACAGACCCAUACCAACUUCCGGAAUCGGAAUCCGGCCCUGAUAUCAGAAAGUCCACUCCCGGUGAAACAUCCCAAAAAUUAUCCAACUUUCGCCAAUUGACGAUAAAAUGACCUACGGACCUCCAAAAUCACCCUAUGGAGCUAUUGGAACAGUCUAAACUCCAUUCCGGAGUCGUCUUCUCACCGUUAAAAUUAUGGUCAAAUUCAUAGAACUUAAACUCCCAAUUUAGGGACUAUGUAUCCUAUUUUACUCUAAACCAAAAAAACAAAUCCCCCCGGCAAGUCAUGUAACCACAAAAUGAAAUAGAGGGAGCAAUAAAUAGGGGUUCGGGGAUAAUACUCUCAAAACGAUCGGUCGGGUUGUUACAUCCUCCCCCUCUUAAAACAAACGCUCGUCGUCGACCGAGUAUAUAGACAUACCUGAAGUGGUGAAAAGAUGAGGAUAACGGCUGCGCAUAUCAUGCUCGAUCUCCCAAGUCGCCUCCUCGACUAGAUGACCCAUACACUGAACCUUCACUGAAGCAAUGCUCUUUGAGCUCAACCUUUGAACCAGCCUGUCCAAAAUGGCCACCGGCUCCUCAACAUACGAUAGAUCCUUGUCCAACUGGACUGAGAUGAAGUCUAACACAUAAGACGGAUCACCGUGAUACUUCUGGAGCAUGGAAACAUGGAAUACUGGAUGAACUGCAGAGAGACUCGGUGGUAGUGCAAGUCUGUAAGCCACCUCCCCAUCCCUCUCAAGAAUAUCAAAAGGCACGAUAUACCUAGGGCUCAACUUGCCCUUCUUUUCAAACCUCAUAACACCAUUCAUGGGUGAAACUCAGAGCAAGACCCACUCCCCAACCAUGAAUGCAACGUCGAGAACCUUCUGAUCUGCAUAACUCUUCUGCCUGGACUAGGUUGUACGCAAUCGAUCCUGAAUAAAUUUAACCAUUUCCAACACAUCCUGAACUAAGUCUGUACCCAAUAGCCUAGCCUCUCCCGGCUCAAACCAACCCACUGGAGACGGGCACAGUCUACCAUACAAAGCCUUAUAUUGUGGCAUCUGAAUGCUCGACUGAUAAUUGUUGUUGUAGUCAAACUACGCAAGUGGCAAGAACUAGUCCCAAGCACCCCCAAAAUCCAUCCAAUGCGCACGAAGCAUAUCCUACAAUAUCUGAAUAGUGCUCUCGGACUGUCCGUUCGUCUGAGGGUGAAAUGUUGUACUCAACUCCACCUGAGUACCCAACUCACGCUAUACGGCUCUCCAGAACCGUGAUGUAAACUGCGUACCCCGGUCAGAGAUGAUAGAUACAGGUACGCCAUGAAGCCUGACAAUUUCGCGAUUGUAAACUUGAGCCAGCUGCUCCGAAGAGUAAGUAGUUACCAUAGGAAUGAAAUGAGCUGACUUGGUCAAUCUAUCCACAACCACCCAAACUGCAUCGAACUUCCUCUGAGUUCGCGGGAGCCCAACAACAAAAUCCAUAGUGAUCCACUCCCAUUUUCACUCUGGAAUCUCAAACUUUUGAAGCAAUCCACCCGGUCGCUGAUGCACAUACUUCACCUGCUGACAAUUUACGCAACUAGCUACAUAUUCCACUAUGUCCUUCUUCAUCCGCCUCCACCAAUAGUGUUACCUUAAAUCCUAAUACAUCUUUGCGGCACCUGGAUGAAUGGAAUAUCGCAAACUGUGAGCCUCCUGGAGAAUCAACUCACGCAAACCAUCUACAUUAGGCACACAUAGCCCGUGUUGCAUCCGUAACACACCGUCAUCCCCAAUGGUGACUUCCUUGGCAUCACCGUGCUGAACCGUGUCCUUAAGGACAAGUAGAUGGGGGUCAUCAUACUGAUGCUCUCUGAUACGAUCAUAAAGAGAAGACUGAGAAACCACACAAGCCAAAACUCAGCUCAGCUCGGAAACAUCCAAUAUGAGAAACUGGUUGGCCAAGGCCUAAACAUCCAAGGCUAAAGGCCUCUCUGCUACUAAUAGAUAUGAUAAAUUUCCCAAACACUCCGCUUUGUGACUCAAGGCAUCAGCCACCACAUUGGCCUUCCCAGGAUGAUAGAGAAUGGUGAUGUCAUAAUCCUUAAGCAGCUCCAACCAUCUCUGUUGUCGUAAGUUAAGAUCUUUCUGUUUAAACAGAUGUUGUAGACUCCGGUGAUCGGUGAAAACCUCACAAGGGACACCGUACAAAUAAUGCCGCCAGAUACUAUAGCUGCUAACUCGAGGUCAUGGACAGGAUAAUUCUUCUCAUGCACUUCAGCUGUCUAAAUGCGUAGGCAAUCAUCCUACCGUCCUGCAUCAACACCGUGCCGAGACCAAUGCGCGACGCAUCACAACACACCGUAUAGGAUCCCAAUCUUGUAGGUAACACCAACACUGGGGAUGUAGUCAAAGCAAUCUUGAGCUUUUGAAAGCUCUCCCCACACUCCUUGGUCCAGCUUAACGGAGCACCCUUUUGGAUCAAUCUAGUCAUAGGUCCUGCAAUAAACGAUAAACCCUCUACAAAGCGACGGUAAUACCCCGCCAAGCCAAGAAAACUCCGGAUCUCCGUACCUUGAUCCCUUCACUCGACACUACAUGACCCUAAAAUGCCACUGACUCUAGCCAGAAUUCACACUUCGAAAAUUUUGCAUAAAACUUCUUCUCCCUCAAGGUCUGAAACAUAGUCCUCAGGUGCUGCUCAUGAUCCUCCCGACCCCGGGAGUACACCAGAAUGUCGUCAAUAAACACAAUGACGAAAGAGCCAAGAUAGGGCUGAAAUACACUGUUCAUCAAGUGCAUGAAUGUUGUUAGGGCAUUGGUCAGCCCAAAAGAAAUCACAAGGAACUCGUCAUGACCAUACCGAGUCCUGAAAGCAGUCUUCGGGAUAUCUGGCUCCCGAAUCUUCAACUGAUGAUAGCUUGAAUGCAAGUCGAUCUUAGAGAACACUCUAGCACCCUAAAGCUAAUCAAACAGGUCAUCAAUACGUGGCAAUGGAUAGAUGUUCUUCACUGUAACCAUGUUCAACUAGCGACAAUCAAUACACAUUCGUAUAUAACCAUCCUUCUUCUUUACAAACAAGACAGGAGCACCCCAAAGUGACACACUGGGCCGAACGAAGCCCUUAUUGAGCAACUCUUGCAAUUGUUCCUUUAAUUCUUUCAACUCUGCUGGGGUCAUACGACAAGGUGGAAUAGAAAUGGGCUGAGUGCCCGGUAACAAAUCAAUGCCAAAGUUAAUAUCUCUGCCGGGCGGCAUGCCCGGAAGAUCCACCGGGAAUACAUCUGAAUAGUCCCUCACUACCAGAACAGAGUCGAAAGUAGGAGUAUCAACACUAACAUCCCUCACAUAGGCCAGAUACGCAUCACACCCCAUCUCAACCAUUCGCUGAGUUUUAAGAAAAAAGACAACCCUGCUAGGUAGAUGAUCUAAGGUACCUCUCCACCUUAUAUCAAUCGAUAAGAAUGCAUUUCCCUCACAAAAGGUUAGACAAGUCACUUACCUCGCUCAAUCAAUCGAUAAGAAUGCCUUUCCCUUAACUUUUCGACUAUGAUCGGCUCGAAUCUAGCCUAAACAAUUACAUACUAUAAAUAUAACUACAAGAAACUAAUUUAAAUAAUGAAACUACGACUUAAGCAAAGAAUUGAAAACUCGGCCCAAAAGGUCGACCCGGGCCCACGUCUUAGAAUCGGGUAAAAUUCACAAAAUACGAAUACCCAUUCGAUAACGAGUUCACUCAUGCCAAAAUUACUCAAAUUCGAUACCAAGUCGCCACUCAAAUCCCCAAAUUAAACUCUCCAAAUCCCUAGCCUCAAACUCCCAAAUUCAAUGUUAAAUACGCACAAACUAGGUGGAAAAUCAAUGGGAAAACAAGCUUAUUGAUAAAAAAUGAGUACAAGAGGAUUACCACAAGAAAUCCCUAGAAAAUGCUCUCAAAUAUCGCCAAGACCGGAGCUCAAAAUGUUUAAAAUGAAGCAAAAUCGCGAACCCUUGUAUUUAAGUGUUCUGCCCAGAACUACCGCUUCUGCGGAAACUUAGCUGCAUCUACGGCGUCGCAGAAGUGACAACAUACCUGCUUCUGUAUUUUCUCUCGCUCCUGCUAUCUCUUCAUCCGCUCUUGCGGACUCGCUUCUGCGGGCCUCCCAACCGCUUUUGUGGUCCCAGCUUCUUUUCCAAAUUCCGCUUCUGCGGGUGCACAUCUGCACAAACUUGUCUGCUUCUGCGAACAGGCCUCCCAAGCACGCGUCCGCUUCUACGAUCACUCUUCCGUAGAAGUGACUCCGCUUCUAUGGCCUUCACACCGUACCUGCGACCACAGGCCAUUUCCUUCAACACCGCAUCUGCGCCCAAAUGCUAGCUUCUGCGAGCUCGCACCUGCGGUCAAUCUUGCGCAGGUGGAUUACUCCAUAACUGAUGCACUUCAACCAUCCUCACAAGUCCAAAUUGAUCCGUUAACCAUCUGGAAAUCAUCUGAGGCCCCCGGGUCCUCAACAAAAUACACCAACAAGUCUUAAAAUAGCAUACAAACUUAGUCGAGUCUCUAAAUCACAUCAAACAAUGUUGAACAUAUGAAUUGCACAUCGAUUCAAGCCUAAUGAACUUUAAAGCUUUAAACUUCUACAUCCGACGCCGAAACCUAUCAAAUCAAGUUUGAUUGACAUCAAAUUUUGCACACAAGUCAUGACUAAUAUGACGGACCUACUCCAACUUCCAGAAUCAGAAUCUGACCCCGAUAUCAAAAAGUACACUACCGGUCAAACUUCGCAAAUAUCAUCCAACUUUCUAACUUUCGUCAAUUGACGCUAAAAUUACCUAUGGACCUCCAAUUCAAGAUCCGAAUACGCUCCUAAGACCAAAAUCACCCUACAAAACUAUUGAAACCGUUGGAACUCCAUUUCGGAGUCGUCUUCACAUAGUUCAAAUUACCGUCAAAUUCCUAUAACUUGAACUCCCAAUUUAGGGACUAUGUGUCCCAUUUCACUCUGAAACCAAAAGCAAAUCCCCCCAGCAAGUCACGUAACCACAAAAUAAAAUUGAGGGAGCAAUAAAUAGAGGUUCAGGGCUAAUACUCUCAAAACGACCGACCAGAUCGUUACAGAUACCAAUUGUUUCGGUCGAGCCAAAACGAGUACAAGGCAUAAAUGUUCAUAAAUAUGAUAGUCCAACUAUGAUUUUACAAGUCAUGCCUACUUGAAGUGAAAUAGUUAAAGAAUGAUUUACAAAUAGAUUAAUUUGAAAAACAUAUUAGUAUAAUCAUAUAAGGGUAAAAGUUAUCUACUUUGAAAAAGAAGAUGACAUGCCCAUUCAUUUCUUUAUAUAUAUAUAUAUAACUAAUUUAAUUAACUAUGUGUAUAUCAAUUCUAAUUAAUCAACCAAGUUAUAAAAUAUAUUUGACAUCCUAAAUAUAUAUAUACAAACUUCAAAAAAUUAUCUAAUGCACAAUGUUAUAAGUUAAUCGGAUUAUUAACUAGAUGUAAUACACCCUAAGUAUUUAGCAAAUAGAUGAAUAUCAAAGUAAACAAACAACACGACAUCUAUCUACGGUUUUACUAUACUUGCAUUUUGAGGACAUCUGAGAACGGGAAGUAUGAAGUGGGGGAAAUAUGGGGGGUUGUCUUUGAUUCUUCUCCACACACCGUCUUUGAAAGAUAACUUUCGGGUGGGGUACCUCGCAAAGAAGAAAUGAAAUAUUAGUAAAUAACAUGGAAACAACCUAUAAAGAAUGAAAGUAUUUUAUUGAAAUUGUUUUGAAAAUUAUUUUAAAGAUAGAAAUAUUUUUAUUUUUGAAAAUACAUUUGAAAACAUUUGAAAUUUUUUUUGGGAGGCUCGGAUGUAUUUUUAAUUCUGUCUAGACAUGAGAAUGGGAACUGCUUUGGUUGUGACUACGGUGUCCAACUGUGUCACUGUCCAGAGUGUUGGGUUGUCACGUUUCUCGUAUUUUCCCUUUCCCGAUGAUUUUAUCGUCAUCACCUCGUUUGUUUUCAGGACCGGUUUGGAGGAACAUUCGGAGGGUCGUGACCUCAAUAACUCGGGGUUUAUUUUCAUCGACCUUGGUGCAUUUGUUCAAAAUCAUAGCAUUUUAACAGUAAAGGGGAAUCAUCUCAUUUCCAAUAUUCAUAAGAAAAGUCAAAUUUGUAAAUAGGAAGUACCCAACAAGGUACAAGACAGUGAGGCCCCCAACCAAAGAAAAUGACUAAAACAAUAUCAUGGUCCAAACAAACCAAACAGUGUAGUGUAUCUAAUCAAAAGUAAAUCGGGUGUGCCAAAACAACAAUCAAAGCAACGAAGCGCUGACAGUGAAAAUCAAACUUAAAGUCAUCAUUCAACAAACCAAACAAUAUUAAGCUCAACUUAAGGUCACUAUAAAUGGAAUUCUGAUGAAGUAACAGAAAAGAGAUGGCAUCUUCAAGAAAAGAUACUCAAAGAUACUCAAAAUCGUAAGCUACAGUUAACGUCCAUAUACGGCGUUGCUAGCCCGGCGAUAAAUACCAGAACAACAUUAAAUAUCAUGCACAAAAGGUCACUGGAAAAAUAUAUUUUCCAGCGAAUCAUAGAGAGAAAAUCACAAAGACUGCCAGAAAGAGUAAAAAUCCAGCCAGGUCUCUCUCUUCUGGCCAAUAACAGAGAAGAUAAAGUUUGAGGAAGUGGUGGCGCCAAUAUUAGUUUAGCCGGCCAGAUCUGGCCAUUUCUGCUGGGGUUCCAGCGAUGCAACAAUGAUGAGAGAAGAGAGAGGAUAAGGGCUGGGGAGAGGAAGAGGAUGGCUGCCAUGGCAAGCUGCCAGAUCUCCAGCUGUUAGUCGGUCAAGAGAGUUAUGAGAGAGAGAGAGAGAGAGAGAGAGGGAGCUCGUAUGGGAGAAGAGGUGACGGCUGAAAAAAUGAGUAAUGAGAGAGUGAAAAGUUUUAGGGUUUGAGACUCUCUUUAUAAAGAUAGUGUGAAAAUGUGUAGUGUGUAUGUGUUUUAAAUACUAAGUGUAUGUAAAAAAAAAUAUGUGGUCUUUAUUUAAGCACAAAAUAAAAGAUAAUGUAACUAUAAAAUAUGUGGUCAAAAGUAAAACCACCAACUGUAAACCAUGG
rnacentral:lncRNA from 1 species